UACAGAGGGUGCGAGCGUUAAUCGGAAUUACUGGGCGUAAAGCGUGCGUAGACGGUAGCGUAAGUCAGAUGUGAAAGCCCCGGGCUCAACCUGGGAACUGCAUUUGAGACUGCUCUGCUCGGGUGCGGAAGAGGGAAGCGGAAUUUCCGGUGUAGCGGUGAAAUGCGUAGUUAUCGGAAGGAACACCAGUGGCGAAAGCGGCUUCCUGGUCCGACACCGACGUUCAGGCACGAAAGCGUGGGGAGCAAACAGG
rnacentral:rRNA from 1 species